UACAGAGGGUGCAAGCGUUGUCCGGAAUCAUUGGGCGUAAAGAGCGUGUAGGCGGCCCGGUAAGUCCGCUGUAAAAGUCAAAGGCUCAACCUUUGAAUGUCAGUGGAUACUGCCCGGGCUAGAGUCCGGAAGAGGCGAGUGGAACUCCUGGUGUAGCGGUGGAAUGCGCAGAUAUCAGGAAGAACACCAACGGCGAAGGCAGCUCGCUGGGACGGUACUGACGCUGAGACGCGAAAGCGUGGGGAGCGAACAGG
rnacentral:rRNA from 1 species